rnacentral:RNase_P_RNA from 1 species
GCGUACGGGAGAACGCUGCGGCUCCGCGCCGCAGAGGAAAGUCCGGACAGGCACAGGCUGCGAUGCCUGUAAUGAUUGUGCGCGACCCAACAAGUCGCGGGAGGAUGAAUGAAAUCCUUACGGCGGUGAAAUCCACUCCAGCAGUGGAAAGUAACCUGAAAGUGCCACAGAAACGAUGCGUUCCGGCGACGGAGCGAUGCAAGGGUAAACCCCACAAGCCUGAAACUCAAAUUAUGGUAGAGGAACCCUGCGGAAGGGAAUUGAACCGAACCGGGGCGCGCCUAAGGCGCGAGACAGAUGUUCUCUAGAACAAAAUCCGGCUUACGGUA